UACGUGCCAGCAGCCGCGGUAAUACGUAGGUGGCAAGCGUUGUCCGGGAUUUACUGGGCGUAAAGGAUGCGUAGGCGGACAUUUAAGUCAGAUGUGAAAUACCCGAGCUUAACUUGGGUGCUGCAUUUGAAACUGGGUGUCUAGAGUGCAGGAGAGGUAAGUGGAAUUCCUAGUGUAGCGGUGAAAUGCGUAGAGAUUAGGAAGAACACCAGUGGCGAAGGCGACUUACUGGACUGUAACUGACGCUGAGGCAUGAAAGCGUGGGGAGCAAACAGGAUUAGAUACCCUGGUAGUCCACGCCGUAAACGGUGAAUACUAGGUGUCGGGGGUCGAACCUCGGUGCCGCAGUUAACACAAUAAGUAUUCCGCCUGGGGAGUACGAUCGCAAGAUUAAAACUCAAAGGAAUUGACGGGGGCCCGCACAAGCAGCGGAGCAUGUGGUUUAAUUCGAAGCAACGCGAAGAACCUUACCUAGACUUGACAUCCCUUGCAUAACCCAGAGAUGGGUGAAGUCCUUCGGGACAAGGUGACAGGUGGUGCAUGGUUGUCGUCAGCUCGUGUCGUGAGAUGUUGGGUUAAGUCCCGCAACGAGCGCAACCCUUAUCAUUAGUUGCUACCAUUAAGUUGAGCACUCUAGUGAGACUGCCCGGGUUAACUGGGAGGAAGGUGGGGAUGACGUCAAAUCAUCAUGCCCCUUAUGUCUAGGGCUACACACGUGCUACAAUGGUGAGUACAAAGAGAUGCAAGACCGCAAGGUGGAGCCAAACUCAAAAACUCAUCCCAGUUCGGAUUGUAGGCUGCAACUCGCCUACAUGAAGCCGGAGUUGCUAGUAAUCGCGAAUCAGCAUGUCGCGGUGAAUACGUUCCCGGGCCUUGUACACACCGCCCGUCACACCAUGAGAGUUGGUAACACCCGAAGUCCGUGAGGUAACCAGUAAUGGAGCCAGCGGCCGAAGGUGGGAUCGAUGAUUGGGGUGAAGUCGUAACAAGGUAACC
rnacentral:rRNA from 1 species